rnacentral:rRNA from 1 species
UACCAGCACCCCGAGUGGUCGGCACGAUUAUUGGGCGUAAAGAGCUCGUAGGCGGUUUGUCGCGUCUGCUGUGAAAACUCGGGGCUUAACUCCGGGCCUGCAGUGGGUACGGGCAGACUAGAGUGCGGUAGGGGAGACUGGAAUUCCUGGUGUAGCGGUGAAAUGCGCAGAUAUCAGGAGGAACACCGGUGGCGAAGGCGGGUCUCUGGGCCGUAACUGACGCUGAGGAGCGAAAGCGUGGGGAGCGAACAGG